rnacentral:rRNA from 1 species
CAGCAGCCGCGGGAAUACGAAGGGUGCAAGCGUUAAUCGGAAUUACUGGGCGUAAAGCGUGCGUAGGCGGUGAGUUAAGUCUGCUGUGAAAUCCCCGGGCUCAACCUGGGAAUGGCAGUGGAUACUGGCUCGCUAGAGUGUGUCAGAGGAUGGUGGAAUUCCCGGUGUAGCGGUGAAAUGCAUAGAGAUCGGGAGGAACAUCAGUGGCGAAGGCGGCCAUCUGGGACAACACUGACGCUGAGGCACGAAAGCGUGGGGAGCAAACAGGAUUAGAUACCCCGGUAGUCCCUGUCUCUUAUAC